rnacentral:rRNA from 1 species
UACGUAGGGUGCAAGCGUUAAUCGGAAUUACUGGGCGUAAAGCGUGCGCAGGCGGUUAUGUAAGACAGGUGUGAAAUCCCAGGGCUUAACCUUGGAACUGCAUUUGUGACUGCAUGGCUAGAGUUUGGCAGAGGGGGGUAGAAUUCCACGUGUAGCAGUGAAAUGCGUAGAUAUGUGGAGGAACACCGAUGGCGAAGGCAGCCCCCUGGGUCAAGACUGACGCUCAUGCACGAAAGCGUGGGGAGCAAACAGG